rnacentral:rRNA from 1 species
CUUCCGUUAAUUGAUUAUGACGUACUUGUACUGAUUGAGAUUUUAACACCAUUUGAGUGGCGAACGGGUGAGUAACACGUGGGUAACCUGCCCAGAAGUAGGGGAUAACACCUGGAAACAGAUGCUAAUACCGUAUAACACAAAAAACCGCAUGGUUUUUUUUUAAAAGAUGGCUCUGCUAUCACUUCUGGAUGGACCCCCGGCGUAUUAGCUAGUUGGUGAGGUAAAGGCUCACCAAGGAAGUGAUACGUAUCCGACCUGAUAGGGUCAUCGGCCACAUUGGGACUGAGACACCGCCCAGACUCCUACGGGAGGCAGCAGAAGGGAAUCCUCCACAAUGGACGCAAGUCUGAUGGAGCCACCCCGCGUGAGUGAAGAAGGGUCUCGGCUCAUAAAGCUCUGUUGUUAAAAAAGAACGUGGGUAAGAGUUUCUGUUUACCCAGUGACGUUAUUUAACCAAAAAGCUCGGAUUU